GAUGAACGCUGGCGGUGUGCCUAAUACAUGCAAGUCGUACGCAUUCUCGUUUCUGAUUGACGGUGCUUGCACCUAAUUGACGAGACAUUGGAAUGAGUGGCGGACGGGUGAGUAACACGUGGGUGACCUGCCCAGAAGCGGGGGAUAACAUUUGGAAACAGAUGCUAAUACCGCAUAAAAGUCAAAACCACAUGGUUUUGAUUUAAAGAUGGUCUUUGUGCUAUCACUUCUGGAUGGACCCGCGGCGUAUUAGCUAGUUGGUAAGGUAACGGCUUACCAAGGCAAUGAUACGUAGCCGAACUGAGAGGUUGAUCGGCCACAAUGGGACUGAGACACGGCCCAUACUCCUACGGGAGGCAGCAGUAGGGAAUCUUCCACAAUGGGCGCAAGCCUGAUGGAGCAACACCGCGUGAGUGAAGAAGGGUUUCGGCUCGUAAAACUCUGUUGUUAAAGAAGAACGUAUCUAAGAGUAACUGCUUAGGUAGUGACGGUAUUUAACCAGAAAGCCACGGCUAACUACGUGCCAGCAGCCGCAGUAA
rnacentral:rRNA from 1 species